CUACGGGUUGCAGCAGGCGCGAAAACUUUCCAAUGCCUUGACGGGUGAGAAGGGAACCCUGAGUGGCUAUACAAUGUAUAGCCUUUUGUUUUGCCUAAAAAGCAAGGCGAAUAAGUGGUGGGUAAGACGGGUGGCAGCCGCCGCGGUAAUACCCGCGCCACGAAUGGUGACCGCGAUUAUUGGGUCUAAAGCGUCCGUAGCCGGUUCGGUAAGUUCUUGGUGAAAUCUACUAGCUAACUAGUAAGCGUGCUGAGAACACUACCGCACUUGGGAUCGGGAGAGGGUAGGGGUAUUCCAUGAGUAGGGGUUAAAUCCUUUAAUCCAUGGAAGACCACCGGUGGCGAAGGCGCCUACCUGGAACGAGUCCGACGGUGAGGGACGAAAGCUAGGGGAGCAAACGGGAUUAGAUACCCGCGUAGUC
rnacentral:rRNA from 1 species